rnacentral:lncRNA from 1 species
UGCGCCCCCCUCCCAGCCCUGCGCCCGUCUCCCUACCAGCCCCCGAACCACUGCCCUCCACCGCCUCCUUCUAGCUGAUUCUGAGGGCCUCGAGACCACAACAAGGUCCGCAGCCCGAAGGUCCCCAGCAGUUUCCUUGGACAGUCACGUGCGUGUGCAGCCGAGAGGACGCUGGACUCCAGGCAGCAGGUUCUGUCGACCCCACCUGGCUGGAUCACCUCAGCCUACACAUGAGCGGAACCCAGGAUGGAAGAAUGUAAUCACCAGCGUGACUCCAGUGAUGGAACUGAACUAGAUGCGGAGACUGGGGAGCAGCAGAGUCAACUCAGUUAUCAUCUCGGCGGCCGGGCUGCCAUCCAGCUCACGGAAGCCAUCUGAUCCGGAAAAGAUUUCUGACGCCUGCUGGAGCUGUUUCCAUACAGGCAGAGGCCAGUGUCAUCUCCAGCACCUGGGAGACAUAAGAGAAAGAGCCAGUGGCCUUCCUCUGAGACAAUCUCAAAUGAAUAUGCUUGACCCAGAUGAGGGAAGGAUCACACAGAUUCUGUCGAGGCAGCCCCAGGCAGCCCCAGGCAGCAGAUCUGGAAAUCCUUGGGAGAUUACCAUGGAAUGCAAACACUCAGCGCCACCCUGUGCUAAGAGCCAGAGUGUGGAUGCUAAGUUUGGGAAGACAAAACAGACUAUAGAUGCAUGGUCUUUCUCAAUCCUACCCAGCCAGGAUGAUGUGGAGAAGAUCAUCUGGGUGCCUCUUGGCAGAAGGUAA